rnacentral:rRNA from 1 species
CCAGACUCCUACGGGAGGCAGCAGUAGGGAAUAUUGGGCAAUGGACGGAAGUCUGACCCAGCCACGCCGCGUGCAGGAGGAAGGCGCUCUGCGUUGUAAACUGCUUUAGCAGGGGAAGAAAAGACUCAUGCGUGAGGAAUUGACGGUACCCUGAGAAUAAGCACCGGCUAACUACGUGCCAGCAGCCGCGGUAAUACGUAGGGUGCAAGCGUUGUCCGGAUUUAUUGGGUUUAAAGGGUGCGUAGGCGGUCUAUUAAGUCAGUGUUUAAAUUUUGCAGCUUAACUGUAGGUAUGGCAUUGAUACUGGUGGACUUGAAUAUCAUGGAGGUAGCUAGAAUUUAUGGUGUAGCGGUGAAAUGCAUAGAUACCAUAAGGAACACCGAUAGCGGAGGCAGGUUGCCACGUGAUGAUUGACGCUGAGGCACGAAAGCGUGGGGAUCAAACAGGAUUAGAAUACCCUGGUAGUCCACGCUGUAAACGAUGAUUACUAGAUGCUGGCCGG